UACGAAUGGGGCAAGCGUUUUUCGGAAUCACUGGGCUUAAAGCGUGCGCAGGCGGACUUACAAGUCAGGAGUGAAAUCCCGGGGCUCAACCCCGGAAUUGCUUUUGAAACUGCAAGUCUAGAAUCCGGGAGAGGUUAGUGGAAUUCCUAGUGUAGAGGUGAAAUUCGCAGAUAUUAGGAGGAACACCAGUGGCGAAGGCGACUAACUGGACCGGUAUUGACGCUCAGGCACGAAAGCGUGGGGAUCAAACAGG
rnacentral:rRNA from 1 species